rnacentral:misc_RNA from 1 species
CCAGAGAUGGCGGGCCCCGGGCCCCCGUCCCCAACCCUUUGUUGACCAAAACCACUUUUGCCUCGGGGGCAGAGCGGCCUCCGCCGCCCCCGGUGGACCAAUCAACGCUGUCUCUGUACGUCGGAGUCUUUGAUGAAUGAAUGA